AAGACGAAAGUAACCGAACCCUAAUUGUCUCUGUUUCAGUCUCAAUGGCUGAAACCACCACAGAGGGAGCUUCCCAAGUGGUAAAAUCCGUUAGGUUUAGCUUCAUGACAGAGGAAGAUGUCCGAAAGCAUAGCGUUCUCGAAGUUACAAACCAUGUCUUACUCGAUAACGUUGGGAGAUCCUCUCAUGGGUCCUAUGGAAGAUAGAUCAUGCUAAGAAAGAGAAGGACUUGCUGCGGAAAUCGAAACCUCAUAGUAUUGAACUAGCUAGUCAGAGUAAGCUUAGAAGAAUCUCGCUUAGAAGACACUGCAAGGAUUCAGACGAUGGAUAUGGAGUUGUUGAAUUGCUACAAAGAAAUUGGUUACUUGCGAGAUCUACUGAUUUUUAAAAGCAAGGAAGUGAAUUAUCUCAACGAGCACGUUCACAGUCUUGAAUCCAAACUGACUGAACCAGGGAACUUGGAAGAAGAAGUUAAGCUCUUGAGAGAGGAUUUGUAAGACCCAACACAGAUGUUAUUCAGCCAUGGGACUCCUGCAUCAUUCGAGUUGUAUCAAAAAUAGCACUGCUAAUCUCAUUCUUUUGAUGCAAACUGAUCUUUUGACAUGGUUUCUAUUUCGUUUGGGUGAUUAUACUGGAAGCUAGUUAGGUCCGGUUAGACCACCUCUGUUUUGUUAGGGUGAUUAUCCAAAGGUGUCUGCUUGAGAAUGAUUUUGAUUUUAAUUGACAGAGCAAUGGAUCAGAAGAAGCAAGCUUCCCUUAUGCAGCUUCCUCUGCUUCUUACAAGCCUCCAUCGACCACGGCUGUAGCAGAGAAAGUUGCAGAGGCUGCAGGAAAAUUGUCAAGGAAUGUGUCUAUGAUACAGAGGAAAGGGUACACAAGCGACGAGGAGCUUGAGAAAAAUUGUCAAGGAAUGUGUCUAUGAAUCUAUAGCUAUUUCUUUUAUGUAAUUUUUCAAGAACCGUUUGGGAGAUUUAAGAGAAAAAGAUGACACUGUUAUAUGCUUAAACAA